AUGGACCCUAUUCUGCUAGCGGUCCAGGACGACACUGACAAGAUCCUGGGAGGCGAAGAGUGUGAGCCCCACUUGGCAAGUGGCCCUAUUUGAGCGUGGACGGUUCAACUGCGGUGCUUCCCUCAUCUCUGAGCACUGGGUGCUGUCUGCAGCCCACUGCCAAACCCGCUUCAUGAGAGCGCGCCUGGGCGAGCACAAUCUGCGCAAGCGCGAUGGUCCCGAGCAGUUGAGGACCUUGGCUCGCAUCAUCCCACACCCGCUCUAUGAAGCACACAGCCAUCGCCACGACGUCAUGUUGCUACGUCUAACCCGGCCCGCGCGCCUCUCCCGGCAAGUGCGCCCCGUGGCGCUGCCCACGCGUUGCCCCCAACCGGCCGAGGCCUGCGUGGUGUCCGGCUGGGGGCUGGUGUCUGAUCACAAGCCUGGGACCAAAGGGAGCACAGACUCACAAGUGAGUCUCCCAGAUACCCUGCAUUGUGCCAACAUCAGUGUUAUCCCGGCUGCCUCUUGUAACAAGGACUACCCAGGGCGCCUGGUGGCCUCUAUGCUGUGUGCAGGAGCAGAGGGUGGAGGCACCGAGUCCUGUGAGGGUGACUCCGGGGGACCCCUGGUCUGUAGGGGAGUCCUGCAGGGCAUUGUGUCCUGGGGUGACGUCCCCUGUGACACUACCACCAAGCCUGGGGUCUAUACCAAAGUCUGCAGCUACUUGGAGUGGAUCAAGGAAUCCAUGAAGAGGAACUAACUAUUUGGGCCUGACACUGUGUCUCUGGCUGAGCACAAGCUCCCACAGCUGGCCAACAACCCCAUCCUGACCUGGGACAGAAGGGACAGAAUCAAGCCAUCCCUCAAGACCUCAUUUGUCCAAGGCCCACAUGUUAGGGCUUGUCCCGUCUUAGGCCAGAGCCGGUGCUCAAGGUCACCUGUUGAAACACUGAGAUAACAAGAGUGCUGAUGCAAGUUUCUCUGUA